AAAUUAAUAAAAUUUGAAAAUGACCAGCAGAAAUUGAUAAUCUAUUACAUUUUGGUUGUCAAAAACAAAGAUUAUUUAUACAAGUAUCCUUUGGUCAAAAAAGUGCAGGCAAAUGAAAUGACAGUAAACAGCUGUUUAUAAAAAAAAUUUAAAUAAAUACGUGGAAUACAAGCAGAUUUUGUGAAAUUUGUUUUUAAGCUGUAAAUAAGGAAUAUUUGUAUGAAUAUUUAAAGUAGAAGUAAACCAAAAAGAAAAAAAAUAAAAUGAUUGAAGUGACAGACUUACAAAAAAUUGGCAUUGGCCUGGCGGGUUUUGGCGUUUCGUUUCUGUUUUUAGGAGUGCUAUUUUUAUUCGAUAAAGGUUUGCUAGCAAUUGGAAAUAUAUUAUUUCUGUGCGGUUUGGGCUGUGUGAUUGGCGUCGAAAGAACAUUCAGAUUUUUCUUUCAGAGACAUAAAAUAAAAGGUACAACAGCAUUUUUCGGUGGAAUCACUGUUGUGCUACUUGGAUUUCCUAUAAUUGGUAUGAUUAUCGAGUCUUAUGGGUUCUUUGCUUUGUUUAGCGGAUUCUUUCCUGUUGCUAUCAAUUUUCUCGGACGCAUACCAAUUUUAGGAUCAAUACUCAACGCGCCAUUUAUGCAAAAGUUCGUGCAAAAGCUAGGUGGCGACGCAAAUCGAACGACGGUAUAGUAAUUAAGCUUACCUCUAAGGAUAAUUAUAUUUAAAUUAAGUUUAUAUCUACCUGAACCAAGCAAAACUUUCCAAUUUCAUUCAAAACAAAGUUCUAUGUAAAAUAGUAAGUCGAGACUCCACUUUUGCAUGAAAAUACACGGCCCAAGGAAGACGAUAGCACAUUUAUUUGAAAAACACACAUUUCCAUGUGAGUUGAUUCAGGUUCCAAUAAUGGUGACGGUUCGUGUUGUAAAUGCUGCAUAUGUAUGCUUUCUGUAAAAUAAAAAAUUAUUGCGAAUUUUAAUCAACUCCAA